UACGGAGGAUCCAAGCGUUAUCCGGAUUUAUUGGGUUUAAAGGGUGCGUAGGCGGCCUAUUAAGUCAGGGGUGAAAGACGGUAGCUUAACUAUCGCAGUGCCUUUGAUACUGAUGGGCUUGAAUGUACUUGAGGUAGGCGGAAUGUGACAAGUAGCGGUGAAAUGCAUAGAUAUGCCACAGAACACCAAUUGCGAAGGCAGCUUACUAAAGUAUGAUUGACGCUGAGGCACGAAAGCGUGGGGAUCAAACAGG
rnacentral:rRNA from 1 species